GAUGUGGUACCAAACAAGUAAUAUUGCGGAGAGGGAUUAAAAGUUCCUUUGAGAAAGUUUUAAAUUAGACAGUGGCACGCACUAUGCCGACUGGUCACAUUCGCGGAUGCGGUCUUCCACCCGUCCUUUUGGAUUUUGGGGGGCUUGCGGGUUUUUUGUUUUGUUUUAUUUUGGUUUUUGUUUUGGUUUUUGAUAGCUUUGAGGAAAAAAAAAUGUAGAAGCAUGAACCUAGGCCAUCUCAUCAAGCAAGGCAAAUUUUGGCCGUUCCUAGAAAUACUAUGAGUCCUGAAUGUUCUGCUGCUAGAAUCUGCUAAUGAAGACCAAGCUAAGUGAAGGUCUGCAUUCCUUAAUGUCCUUGAUGACACAUAAAUCACGGAGAACCUAGUUUCAAAUGAAUGGCCAGACUCUGCAGCGCACUGAUUGGAUUUCUGCUAGAGCAGAUGGACGAUACCAGUGGAC